rnacentral:rRNA from 1 species
GGUUAAGCGAAUAAGCGUACACGGUGGAUGCCUAGGCAAUCAGAGGCGAUGAAGGACGUGCUAAUCUGCGAUAAGCGUCGGUAAGGUGAUAUGAACCGUUAUAACCGACGAUUUCCGAAUGGGGAAACCCAAUAUCCAAUGGAUAUUAUCAUGACGUGAAUACAUAGCGUCAUGAAGCGAACCGGGAGAACUGAAACAUCUCAGUACCCCGAGGAAAAGAAAUCAACCGAGAUUCCCCUAGUAGCGGCGAGCGAACGGGGAACAGCCCAGAGUCUUAAUCAAUAGCAGCAUCAGGAGAACGGUCUGGAAAGUCCGGCAGUAAAGGGUGAUAGCCCCGUAUCUGAAGAUGCUGUUAUUGUGAACUCGACGAGUAGGGCGGGACACGUGUUAUCCUGUCUGAAUAUGGGGGGACCAUCCUCCAAGGCUAAAUACUCCUGAUUGACCGAUAGUGAACCAGUACCGUGAGGGAAAGGCGAAAAGAACCCCGGCGAGGGGAGUGAAAAAGAACCUGAAACCGUGUACGUACAAGCAGUAGGAGCCUCUUUAUGGGGUGACUGCGUACCUUUUGUAUAAUGGGUCAGCGACUUAUAUUCUGUAGCAAGGUUAACCGUAUAGGGGAGCCGUAGGGAAACCGAGUCUUAACUGGGCGAAUGAGUUGCAGGGUAUAGACCCGAAACCCGGUGAUCUAUCCAUGGGCAGGUUGAAGGUUGGGUAACACUAACUGGAGGACCGAACCGACUAAUGUUGAAAAAUUAGCGGAUGACUUGUGGAUGGGGGUGAAAGGCCAAUCAAACCGGGAGAUAGCUGGUUCUCCCCGAAAGCUAUUUAGGUAGCGCCUCGUGAACUCAUCUUCGGGGGUAGAGCACUGUUUCGACUAGGGGGUCAUCCCGACUUACCAACUCGAUGCAAACUGCGAAUACCGAAGAAUGUUAUCACGGGAGACACACGGCGGGUGCUAACGUCCGUCGUGAAGAGGGAAACAACCCAGACCGCCAGCUAAGGUCCCAAAGUCAUGGUUAAGUGGGAAACGAAGUGGGAAGGCUCAGACAGCCAGGAUGUUGGCUUAGAAGCAGCCAUCAUUUAAAGAAAGCGUAAUAGCUCACUGGUCGAGUCGGCCCGCGCGGAAGAUGUAACGGGGCUAAACCAUGCACCGAAGCUGCGGCAGCAAUACUAUGUAUUGUUGGGUAGGGGAGCGUUCUGUAAGCCUGCGAAGGUGUACUGUGAGGUAUGCUGGAGGUAUCAGAAGUGCGAAUGCUGACAUAAGUAACGAUAAUGCGGGUGAAAAACCCGCACGCCGGAAGACCAAGGGUUCCUGUCCAACGUUAAUCGGGGCAGGGUGAGUCGACCCCUAAGGCGAGGCUGAAAAGCGUAGUCGAUGGGAAACGGGUUAAUAUUCCCGUACUGGUGGUAACUGCGAUGGGGGAACGGAGAAGGCUAGGUUGUCCGGGCGACGGUCGUCCCGGUUCAAGCAUGUAGGCAGAGUGAUUAGGCAAAUCCGGUCACUUAAUGCUGAGGUGUGAUGACGAACCACUAAGGUGGUGAAGCAAUUGAUGCCCUGCUUCCAGGAAAAGCCUCUAAGCUUCAGGUUACCAACAAUCGUACCCCAAACCGACACAGGUGGUCAGGUAGAGAAUACUCAGGCGCUUGAGAGAACUCGGGUGAAGGAACUAGGCAAAAUGGUGCCGUAACUUCGGGAGAAGGCACGCUGGCGGUAAGUGAAGUCCCUUGCGGACGGAGCCGAAGCCAGUCGAAGAUACCAGCUGGCUGCAACUGUUUAUUAAAAACACAGCACUGUGCAAACACGAAAGUGGACGUAUACGGUGUGACGCCUGCCCGGUGCUGGAAGGUUAAUUGAUGGGGUUAUCCUUAGGGAGAAGCUCUUGAUCGAAGCCCCAGUAAACGGCGGCCGUAACUAUAACGGUCCUAAGGUAGCGAAAUUCCUUGUCGGGUAAGUUCCGACCUGCACGAAUGGCGUAAUGAUGGCCAGGCUGUCUCCACCCGAGACUCAGUGAAAUUGAACUCGCUGUGAAGAUGCAGUGUACCCGCGGCAAGACGGAAAGACCCCGUGAACCUUUACUAUAGCUUGACACUGAACAUUGAGCCUUGAUGUGUAGGAUAGGUGGGAGACUAUGAAAUGUGGACGCCAGUCUGCAUGGAGUCAACCUUGAAAUACCACCCUUUAACGUUUGAUGUUCUAACCUAGGUCCAUAAUCUGGAUCGGGGACCGUGUCUGGUGGGUAGUUUGACUGGGGCGGUCUCCUCCUAAAGAGUAACGGAGGAGCACGAAGGUUGGCUAAGCAUGGUCGGACAUCAUGCGGUUAGUGCAAAGGCAUAAGCCAGCUUGACUGUGAGAGUGACGGCUCGAGCAGGUACGAAAGUAGGUCUUAGUGAUCCGGUGGUUCUGAAUGGAAGGGCCAUCGCUCAACGGAUAAAAGGUACUCCGGGGAUAACAGGCUGAUACCGCCCAAGAGUUCAUAUCGACGGCGGUGUUUGGCACCUCGAUGUCGGCUCAUCACAUCCUGGGGCUGAAGUAGGUCCCAAGGGUAUGGCUGUUCGCCAUUUAAAGUGGUACGCGAGCUGGGUUUAGAACGUCGUGAGACAGUUCGGUCCCUAUCUGCCGUGGGCGUUGGAAGAUUGAGAGGGGUUGCUCCUAGUACGAGAGGACCGGAGUGAACGCACCACUGGUGUUCGGGUUGUCAUGCCAAUGGCAUUGCCCGGUAGCUAAGUGCGGAAGAGAUAACCGCUGAAAGCAUCUAAGCGGGAAACUUGCCUCGAGAUGAGUCUUCCCUGUCACCUUGAGUGACCUAAAGGAACGUUUAAGACUAAGACGUUGAUAGGCUGGGUGUGUAAGCGUAGCGAUACGUUGAGCUAACCAGUACUAAUGAACCGUGAGGCUUAACCUG